AUGCCUUAAACUUAUGAGUAAGGAAAAUCACGAUUCGGGGUGACGCCCGAAUCCUCACUGCUAAUGUGAGACGAAUUUUUGAGCGGGUAAAGGUCGCCCCUGUGGUGACCCCCCUA
rnacentral:snRNA from 1 species